rnacentral:piRNA from 6 species
GGUGGUCUAGUGGUUAGGAUUCGGCGC